UACGGAGGGGGCUAGCGUUGCUCGGAUUUACUGGGCGUAAAGGGCGCGUAGGCGGCCAGCACAAGUCAGUUGUGAAAUCUCCGGGCUUAACUCGGAAAGGUCAACUGAUACUGCGCGACUAGAGUGCGGAAGGGGCAACUGGAAUUCUCGGUGUAGCAGUGAAAUGCGUAGAUAUCGAGAGGAACACCAGUGGCGAAGGCGAGUCUCUGGACAAUACCUGACGCUGAGGCACGAAAGCUAGGGGAGCAAACAGG
rnacentral:rRNA from 1 species